rnacentral:rRNA from 1 species
GAGGAUGCGAGCGUUAUCCGGAUUUAUUGGGUUUAAAGGGUGCGUAGGCGGAAGAUUAAGUCAGCGGUAAAAUGUCGGUGACCAACGCCGGCCGGCCGUUGAAACUGAUUUUCUUGAGUGGGCGAGAAGUAUGCGGAAUGCGUGGUGUAGCGGUGAAAUGCAUAGAGAUCACGCAGAACUCCGAUUGCGAAGGCAGCAUACCGGCGCCCGACUGACGCUGAGGCACGAAAGCGUGGGGAUCAAA